UACUACGACCUUACUUCACGAGACUCCCACCACCCAUACCCUGUUUCUUCUCGCAGCUCUUAAGUGCAUAGCUUGCUUUGUGCCACCACCGUACCGUACCAAACAGAUCAAAUCAGAGAUGGCAAGUCGUAGUAGCUCUGCAGAAGGUGCAGGCAGGACGUUGCCUGUCAAUCUCAAGUUGAUCACCGUGCUGAGCAUCGAUGGCGGCGGCAUCAGAGGGAUCAUCCCGGCCACCAUCCUCGCCUUCCUGGAAGCGAAGCUCCAGGAACUGGACGGGCCAGACGCUCGUAUCGCGGACUACUUCGACGUCGUCGCCGGCACGAGCACCGGCGGUCUCCUGACGGCGAUGCUCACGGCCCCUGACACGAACGAACGGCCGCUGUUCGCCGCCAAGGACUUGGCGCGGUUCUACAUCCAGCACUCGCCCAAAAUCUUCCGGCAGAAGAAAAAAAAGAUGCAUGCAUCGAUCGGGGUGCUCAUACACAAGGAUGCCAUGCCGUGCAGGAAUGCUAUGGGGUCCAAGCUCGUCGGCAAGCUGAGGAUGGCUUGUGGGCCCAAGUACGACGGCAAGUACCUCCAUGCGCAGCUCCGACGGCUUCUUGGUAAUAUGAGGCUGGACAGGACACUGACCAAUGUUGUCAUCCCGACCUUCGACAUUGCCUACAUGCAACCCAUGAUUUUCUCCAGCUUUGAGUUGAAGCACCGGCCGUCGACAAAUGCGCUUCUGUCAGACAUAUGCAUGAGCACCUCUGCCGCGCCUACCUACUUCCCGCCGCACUACUUCCAGACCAGGGACGAGAAUGGCAGGAGGAAGGCCUUCAACCUCGUGGACGGCGGAAUCGCUGCGAACAACCCCACCCUGUGCGCCAUGGGCCAGGUGUCUAAGGACAUCAUCCUUGCGGACGACGACUUCUUCCCGGUGAUGCCGGCGGACUACGGCAAGUUCAUGGUCAUCUCGCUCGGCUGCGGGUCGAACCGGAACCGGAGGUACUGCGCCAAGGCCGCCGCCAGGUGGGGCGUCUUCAGCUGGCUCUUCAAGGACGGCAGCGCUCCCAUCAUCGACAUGUUCAACUCCGCCAGCGCAGACAUGGUCGACAUCCACCUCUGCGUCCUCUUCAGGGCCCUGCGCUCCAGCGAAAACUACCUGCGCAUUCAGUACGAUCAGCUGACGGGCAGCGCGGGCUCCAUAGACGACUCGUCCAAGAAGAACAUGGAUAGACUGGUGAGGAUAGGGAACAAGCUCCUGGACAUGAACGUCUCCCGGGUGGACCUGGAGACCGGCCGGAACGUGGAGGUGCCCGGUGCAGGGACCAACGCCGAGCGGCUCGCCAAGUUCGCCAGGCAGCUCUCUGACGAGCGACGGCGCCGGCGCCAGAACGAGCUUAUUAUGAAUUCCGAACAAGUGUUUCAAAUUCAACAUCAAGCUUGGUACUACGGUGGUGACGCUUGAGCUGCAUCCGGCCUGCAGAAUGAGCCGCGCUGCCGCCCGCCCCGCCCCGGCCGCCGCCGACCGCGCCCGCCGUCCCGGCCCCGCCGGCCGCGCCCGCUGUCCUGGGCCUGAGCAGCCGCCGCCGCCUGCGUCCACAACCGAGCCGUCGCCGGCCCACAACCGAGGAGCGCCCCCCGCCUGCGUCCGCCCCCGAGGAGGCCGUCCCGGCAGCGCCCACCACCGGCAGCUCCCACCCCGCGGUUGUCUCUCCCACCCCCGGCAGCGCCCGUCCACGAGGAGCUCGCCCCGGCAGCGCCCGCCUCCGGUAGUGCCUGGUGUUCGUGCGCACGGCCGCCUCGCCCCCCGUCGACCCCGCCCGUGUCGGCGCCCGCUGCGCAGCCACGACUCCGCCGUGGACGUCCCCGACCCAAAUCAUCGAUCUGCACCCGCUGCAACCGUCAGCAUCAAAUAUGGUGGGUGAGGACCGUCGAUGGAUGUAUGAAGGUUGGCGUAUGAAUCAUCCCUCGAUGGAGUGGAUAAGAAAGACAGAGAAUUUUAUUGAUCGUGCUUUUGCUUCGUCGAAGGCAAGUAAAGAAAGUGUUGGGCAACAUAUGUCGUAUGAAAUGGCCUGGAUUGUUGAUAGAGGAUGGUAAGGAGGUCCCUGUCACAAGAUGGGAUCAAUAUGCCCUUGCAAUAAAUGCGCAACAUGGGAAUGCACAAGCUGCAGUUUGGCACGACUUCUGGAAACAUUACAAGUUGCCUGAAGGAGAUACUCAUACGGAACACGCACACUCCAUGUUCCAUAGGAAUGCGGCAAGUGUUGUUGGGGAUAUGAUGUACUAUGCUCGAAUCCAGGUGAUUAGUAAAGCCAUGUUUGGUAGUGAAGGGCGACGUCCAGAGAGUAAGAAUGAGGCGACACAGUAUGGAGUCGAUAUGACUGAGCAACAAUAUCUUGAGCAUUCGAUUCCAUGGAUAGCUGCCAAUGAUGCUGCUUGGCAUGCGUUAUGUCGUUACUGGGCUUCGGCUGAAUUCAAGGCAAAGUCUGUGCGACACAGUUCCAAUCGUGGAACCGAGUCGUAUCAUAGGUAUGGAGGUGAUGAUCACUUUCGUUUGGCAAAACGAAUGGAAGUUAGCACUGGUGCAGUAACCAGUGAUGUUCAAAUCUACCUUAGGGGGCACAGAGUACCAGAUCCUGCAAAUCCAGAUGUGUUGUGCAGCCAAAAGGCAACAGAUCGUGUGGCUGCAUAUGGCGAGGCGAUGACUAGUCAGCACGGACCAGACUAUGACUGGAGGACCUCACCUAUUGAUCCUCAGGCUGUGUAUGCAAGUGGUUGAAAAGCUCAUGGAAGGUACACAAUGUUUGCUAACGUCAUCGACUUGAGCCAGGUUAGGGUUCAGCGUGGAGGUUCAUCGAGGUCUGCUGCUCGUAGCUCCCGUCGCUCCACUCAAGAUCCAGCAGAAGUGGAGCAACUGCGAGAAGAACUUAGGCGACAUCAGGAUUACUUGAAGCAACAAGCUGCGCAACAUGAAUAUUAUGCUACACAGAUUCAGCAACAGCAAACACUCAUACAACAACUAGCACAGGCCCAAGGGAUACAUGUCCCGGUGCCCCCCCCACCUCCCGUCCAUUAUCCUUGGUCUUCACCUCCACCUAUACCUACAUCUCCAUCUACCGAACAUCAGACCCCUCCAGCUACCUUGCCGACGCAUGAACAAGAGGACGGGUUAGACUUUGUCGAUACCCUCUUGAAUAGUGGAGGUAUCGAUGGUGAUCGGCGACCGUGAGCUUCCAUGUUAUUGUGUUCUGAUACUUGAGACUUUUAUUAUGACUAUGUAUGAGAUAUUGUCUUUUAUUAGUACUGGAUGAUGAUAUUUGUGAGACUUUUGUGAUGAUGAGACUAUGGAUGAGACUUUUGUGAUGUAAUAAUUGAUGAGACUAUGGAUUUAAAUAUUGUUAUGUGAUUGUGUGUGAGAUAUUUUAUGUGAUAAUCUGUUGUGUUAUAUAGCUGUUGAUAUAUUUGUUA